rnacentral:rRNA from 1 species
UACAGAGGGUGCGAGCGUUAAUCGGAAUUACUGGGCGUAAAGCGCACGUAGUCGGCUUUGCAAGUCGAUUGUGAAAUCCCCAGGCUUAACCUGGGAACUGCAUUCGAGACUGCAUUGCUAGAGUAUGGGAGAGGGAAGUGGAAUUUCCGGUGUAGCGGUGAAAUGCGUAGAUAUCGGAAGGAACAUCAGUGGCGAAAGCGACUUCCUGGACCAAUACUGACGCUCAUGUGCGAAAGCGUGGGGAGCAAACAGG